rnacentral:lncRNA from 1 species
GUUUGGUGUGUGAGAAGCCAGUUUGCACGUGGCAGAGCCGUGGUUGCUCAGCCCUGGCUCUCACUCCACAUGCCCAUCCAGGGUUCCAUCCAUGCCCAAGGGCAGGCAGAGCCUGUGCCCCCUCCCACAGGCUGCUGCAGGGGGUGCUGGGCUCCCUGCAAACACACCACGGUGCACAGGAGCAUCUCUGUGAUGCUCGUCCCUGUGCGUGUCACUGUCAUCAAGUAAGGGCUGGGGACAGUCCUCUCCUGCCUGGCGACAGCGGUGUUUGUGUCCCUGUGUCCCACAGCUCAGGCUUUCACGGGCAUAUCUGACAAACAGCUCCACACCAAGUGACCCAGAGGCCCCUCCUGAGGCCGGGCUGAGGCGGGAUGUCGGCGCACAGAAGGGAGAUGCAGAUGACAAUGAUGCCGAGUCUGGGAAGCAAGAGUCCGAUGAGCCAGACACAACGGACAGUGAGGAGAAGUAUGAAGAUGAGAUCCUACAAGAAGCUGAGGCUGACGGGAAAUACUUUUGCACCAAAGACAAAGUUCAUGUGCAGCAGAGGAAGAGAAAAAGAGGACAGGAUCCCUGGAUAAAAGGUAAGGAGGAGAAGUUCCUCGGGGCAUCAGCUCAAGGCUACAUCUUCUGCUGCUUCCAGAGGGACUCCUGUGAGAAAUGCCCCAGGACAGGGCACAGGAGGGUUCUCCUCUGAGCCGUGUUUUUGCAACACUCAUUUCUCCAGACAGAGGAGCCCCAGCUAAUGGUUAGCCAGGACAGCCUGGGCAGGGUGGCCAGGAGAGCACCCCAAGCACCUAAGCUAACAGAACUUAGCCCCUUGUGUUUGCUUAUCUGGUCAGGGAGGUGGUGACUGGGGAAGGCCAAAUUCCCAGGGGUGUGUUAUUGACAGUCAGAGAAAAGUUCCUGCCACUUCUGUUGAUCUUCCAGUGUGCCUGUGGAGGUUUCCCUGCUGACAGAGGAAUGUGUUGUACCCAUGUUCCCUCCAGGUGAACAAGCAGAAAACUGCUCCUGAUAAGGGCAAGGAUAAGACAGUUUGUCUGUCAGGCCUUAAAAAAUGCUCUGUCAGAAAACCCCACUGCUCACCACUCUGUCCUGGUGGUAAAAACAGCCAAGUGCUAGCCCAACCAUAAAUGUAGAGAGGGCUGUUGCUUAAGCUUGAAGGGAGCUUUUUUACCAGCCUGGUCUUCAGAGGGCCCUGCUGACUCAGGGGACAGCAGCACAGGUGGGUGACAAGAGGGUUUGCUGUACAGAACAGCCACUUGGAGCAAUGGGGAGGAGCACAGCUGUGCUGUGCAGCCCAGGGCAGACACAUUUAAC